GUAGAGUGCGGGCUGGCGGCCGUUGUAGGAGAGAGGGGGCAUGCUGUGGUCGGAAGUACUGUGCGGAAAGGGGGCGUAGGCGGUGAGUGAAGUCAGAUGUGAAAUGCCUCGGUGUAACCUAGGAUCUGCAUCUGAUACUAGGCGGCUAGAGUAUGGUAUAGGGAGGUAGAAUUCCAGGUGUAGCGGUGAAAUGCGUAGAUAUCUGGAGGAAUACCGGUGGCGAAGGCGGCAUCCUGGACGAUAACUGACGCUGAUGCGCGAAAGCAUGGGGAGCAAACAGGAUUAGAUACCCUAGUAGUC
rnacentral:rRNA from 1 species